GACGAACCGUGCGAACGUUGUUCGGAUUCACUGGGCUUAAAGGGCGCGUAGGCGGGUCGGCGAGUCCGGGGUGAAAGCCCCCCGCUCAACGGGGGAAGGGCCUCGGAGACCGCCGGCCUGGAGGGAGGCAGGGGUCCGCGGAACUGCUGGUGGAGCGGUGAAAUGCGUUGAUAUCAGCAGGAACGCCGGUGGCGAAAGCGGCGGACUGGGCCUCUUCUGACGCUGAGGCGCAAAAGCCAGGGGAGCGAACGGG
rnacentral:rRNA from 1 species